GACGAACGCUGGCGGCGUGCUUAACACAUGCAAGUCGAACGGAAAGGCCCUUUCGGGGGUGCUCGAGUGGCGAACGGGUGAGUAACACGUGGGUGAUCUGCCCUGCACUUUGGGAUAAGCCUGGGAAACUGGGUCUAAUACCGAAUAUGAUCAUGCGCCUCAUGGUGUGUGGUGGAAAGCUUUUGCGGUGUGGGAUGGGCCCGCGGCCUAUCAGCUUGUUGGUGGGGUAAUGGCCUACCAAGGCGACGACGGGUAGCCGGCCUGAGAGGGUGUCCGGCAACACUGGGACUGGGAUACGGCCCAGACUCCUACGGGAGGCAGCAGUGGGGAAUAUUGCACAAUGGGCGCAAGCCUGAUGCAGCGACGCCGCGUGAGGGAUGACGGCCUUCGGGUUGUAAACCUCUUUCAGCACAGACGAAGCGCAAGUGACGGUAUGUGCAGAAGAAGCACCGGCCAACUACGUGCCAGCAGCCGCAGUAA
rnacentral:rRNA from 1 species